GAUGAACGCCGGCGGUGUGCCUAAUACAUGCAAGUCGAACGCGUUGGUCCAAUUGAUUGAUGGUGCUUGCACCUGAUUGAUUUUGGUCGCCAACGAGUGGCGGACGGGUGAGUAACACGUAGGUAACCUGCCCAGAAGCGGGGGACAACAUUUGGAAACAGAUGCUAAUACCGCAUAACAGCGUUGUUCGCAUGAACAACGCUUAAAAGAUGGCUUCUCGCUAUCACUUCUGGAUGGACCUGCGGUGCAUUAGCUUGUUGGUGGGGUAAUGGCCUACCAAGGCGAUGAUGCAUAGCCGAGUUGAGAGACUGAUCGGCCACAAUGGGACUGAGACACGGCCCAUACUCCUACGGGAGGCAGCAGUAGGGAAUCUUCCACAAUGGGCGCAAGCCUGAUGGAGCAACACCGCGUGAGUGAAGAAGGGUUUCGGCUCGUAAAGCUCUGUUGUUAAAGAAGAACACGUAUGAGAGUAACUGUUCAUACGUUGACGGUAUUUAACCAGAAAGUCACGGCUAACUACGUGCCAGCAGCCGCGGUAAUACGUAGGUGGCAAGCGUUAUCCGGAUUUAUUGGGCGUAAAGAGAGUGCAGGCGGUUUUCUAAGUCUGAUGUGAAAGCCUUCGGCUUAACCGGAGAAGUGCAUCGGAAACUGGAUAACUUGAGUGCAGAAGAGGGUAGUGGAACUCCAUGUGUAGCGGUGGAAUGCGUAGAUAUAUGGAAGAACACCAGUGGCGAAGGCGGCUACCUGGUCUGCAACUGACGCUGAGACUCGAAAGCAUGGGUAGCGAACAGGAUUAGAUACCCUGGUAGUCCAUGCCGUAAACGAUGAGUGCUAGGUGUUGGAGGGUUUCCGCCCUUCAGUGCCGGAGCUAACGCAUUAAGCACUCCGCCUGGGGAGUACGACCGCAAGGUUGAAACUCAAAGGAAUUGACGGGGGCCCGCACAAGCGGUGGAGCAUGUGGUUUAAUUCGAAGCUACGCGAAGAACCUUACCAGGUCUUGACAUCUUGCGCCAACCCUAGAGAUAGGGCGUUUCCUUCGGGAACGCAAUGACAGGUGGUGCAUGGUCGUCGUCAGCUCGUGUCGUGAGAUGUUGGGUUAAGUCCCGCAACGAGCGCAACCCUUGUUACUAGUUGCCAGCAUUAAGUUGGGCACUCUAGUGAGACUGCCGGUGACAAACCGGAGGAAGGUGGGGACGACGUCAGAUCAUCAUGCCCCUUAUGACCUGGGCUACACACGUGCUACAAUGGACGGUACAACGAGUCGCGAACUCGCGAGGGCAAGCAAAUCUCUUAAAACCGUUCUCAGUUCGGACUGCAGGCUGCAACUCGCCUGCACGAAGUCGGAAUC
rnacentral:rRNA from 2 species